AACAAACCUGCACGUUGUGCACAUGUACCCUAAAACUUAAAGUAUAAUAAUAAUAAAAUUAAAAAAAAAAGUGGUGUUCCCAAAUUUAGGGGGAAAGUUUUAAAUAUUUUGCCAUUGAGCACAAUAUUUGCUAUAGACUUUUACAAAUAGAUACUCUCCAUAAGAUUAGGGAAAUUCCUCCUGUUUCUGGGUUGCUAGAGGAGGUUCUCUUUUUUUCUUGUGUAAAAAAAACUGUGACUGUAUAUUGAAUUUUAUCAAAUUGUUCUCCUGUAUCUGUUAAAAUUAUUCUAUUUUUGUUUGGCAAAUAUGAUGAAUUACAUUAAUUUGACUUUAGAUGUUAAUUUUUGCAUUCUUGGAACAAACUUAACAUUGGCUCGUGUUUUUGCUUUCCUGUAACAUCUUUGUCAAGUUUUGUUAUUAAGGUGAUACUGACCUAACAGGAAAAGUAGGAAGUAUUCACCCUUUUUCAAUUUGCUGGGAGAGUUUGGUAGGGUUGGUGUUAUUUCUUCCUUAAAUAUUUGGAGAAACUGCCUGGUGAAGCCAUUUCAGCCCAGAUAUUUCUUUGUGAAAUGUCUUUGAAUUACACAGUUUCAUUAUUUGACAUAGUAUUGUUCAGGCUUUCUAUUUAUUCCUGUGUCUUUCAUGGUAAAUUAUUUCAUGGUAAAUUUUCAAAAAUUGAAUAGUAUUGUUCAGGCUUUCUAUUUAUUCCUGUGUCUUUCAUGGUAAAUUAUUUCAUGGUAAAUUUUCAAAAAUUACUUGGAUUACUUUCUAAGCACCUUUCCCUCAUACUACAAGGUAGUUGUGUUAUUCCUUUGAAAUACAGUAGGAUCAUUUUUUUCUGUCUCUAUUCUGUUUAGAGUUGCCAUGUCAUUCGAUUUUUGAUGCGUGUGUGUGUGCGUUUUCUUUUUUUGAGGAAAUGAAAUAUUAAUAUGGUUCUGAAUGUUAGGUUCAUGUAAAAAGGUCUUUCAAGAAAGGACUUCCCCAAGUCCUUCUAUCCUAUUCCCACUACUCUAUCCUACUAUAUCUUUCUUAUUCCCUCUUUUUAUUACACAAAAGGUAGCAUAUUUUGUUUAUUCAAUUUGAUUCUUCUACUUAAUAUAUUCUAAAAAUCAUUUCAUAUCAGUUGAUAGAGAUCUCCCUCUUCCUUUUCUAUAGCUGCUCAGCACUCCAUUUUGUGGAUGUAACAAGUCUACAUAACCAUUCUCCCAUGUAUGAGCUUUUUGUUUCGUUCAAAUAUUUUUCAAUUACAAACAAUGUUGCAAUGUGUUUUUGUAUUGUAGAAAGUAUAUCCUAAGGAUAAUUUCCUGAAAAUGGGAUUGCUGGGUCAAAAGGUAUUAAUAAAUUUAUGUGUAGUUUUGUUAUAAAUUUCCACAUUUCCUUCUAAAAGGAUUGUACUUAUUUGUACUCCCACUAAAAAUGUGUGAGUGUACCUGUCUUGUCACAGUUGUGCCAACAGAAUGUGUUAUAACACAUUUUAGUUUUUGUCAGUCUGAUUGGUCAUAAAUGGUAUCUGUGUGAUCUUUAAAUUUGUCUUUUUUCCUAAUUAUGAGUAAGAUUGAAUAUCUUUUCCUAAGUUUAAGGGCCACAUUUUAGGCCAUUUUUGCAUUGCUAUAUAGGAAUACCUAAGCUGGGUAAUUUAUUUUAAAAUGAGGAUUAAUUGGUUUGUGGUUCUGCAGACUGUACAAGCAUGGCACCAAUAUCUGCUCAGUUUUCUGAGGUAAGGGCCUAGGAAGCUUAUAAUCAUGAUAGAAGGUGAUGGUGAGCCAUCAUGUCACAUGGCAAUGGCGAGAGCAAGAGAGAGAGAAGGAAGGGAUCCCAGCCUCUUUUAAACAAUUGGAUUUCACAUGAACUGACUGAGCAAGAACUCACUCAUCACCAAGGGGAUGGUUCUAAGCCAUUCAUGAGGGAUCCACCUCCACGAUCCAGUCACCUUCCAACACUGGGGAUCAUGUUUUGAUGUGAGAUUUGGAAGUGACAAACAUCCAAACCAUAUCAGGCCAUGUGUACAUAUUUUGUUUAUCUAAAUUGACUGUGUAUUUUGCCUAUUAAUUUAAGAAAGUCUUUGGUCUUUUUUGACUCAGUUUUGAACAGUUCUUUAUAUAUUAGGGAUAUCAGCUCUUUGUGUUCUGUUGCAAAUAUUUUCUCCCAGUUUGUCAGAGAACUUUUGACUUUGUUUAUAGGUGGGUUUUUUUCUUGCCAUGCAGUUUUUUUUAAAAGCCUUUUUUGAAAUCCAAGUUAUUGAUUUUUUAAAAUUACAACUGGGUUUUAGGUCAUAGAAAGUUUUCCUUUCUACAUGCUAUAGAGACAUUUACUCAUUUUUUUGUAGUGUUUGCAUGGUUUUAUAUUUUUUACAUGUAGGUCUCCAAUCCAUUUGGAGCUUGUUCCUGUAUUUGAUGUGAUAUAAAGAUAUACUUUUAUCAGUUGUUCCAGCAAUAUUAUUAAGGUGAUGGGCUAAAAAGUUCAUCUUUGCCCCAGUGAUUUGAGAUGCUACCUUUACCACAUAUUAAAUUUCCAUGUGUACUUGGAUCUAUGUCUUAACUUUCUAUUCUAAUACUGGUAUGUUUGUCUAGUCAUGUGCCAGUUCCUCAAUGCUUAAUUGUAGAGGUUAAUGGUAUGUUUCUUUUCUUUUUAUUUAUUUAUUUUUUUUGAGAUGGAGUUUCGCUCUUGUUGCCCAGGCUGGAAUUCAAUGGCACGAUCUUGGCUGACUGCAACCUCCACCUCCCGGGUUCCAGCGAUUCUCCUGCCUUAGCCUCCUGAGUAGCUGGGAUUACAGGUGCCCACCAUUAGGCCCAGCUAAUUUUUUUUUGUAUUUUCAUUAGAGAUGGGGUUUUACCAUGUUGGCCAGGCUGGUCUUGAACUCCUGACCUCAGGUGGUCCACCCACCUCAGCCUCCCAAGGGAUUAGAGGCAUUAGCCACCACACCCUGCCAGUAUGUUUCAAUGAGCUUCUUUUUAAUAUUAAAAUUGGUCAUUUGAUUCAUUUGUUAUUACUUUUCCUAGAUUAUCUAAGAGCUCUGUUGUAGGGGAGUAGGGCCAAGUUUGCUGUUAAUCAGACCUAAAUAUUCUGGUCAUGCUUCCAAACACUAGGUGAAGAUAAAUUCAGGAAGUCCAAUUAUGUGCCAGAUAUUUGCUGCUGUGUUUUGGGCAAAGGUCAGAUGACGUUUCUGAAAAGGUACCUCUGCAAUUCCAGUGUCUUUGUGACCUGCUGCAGUGAUGUUGCUGGUGGUCUACAGACUGUGUUAGCCCUAGGGUUUCCUUAAAAUAAUGCAGUUUUGUUUUGCUGGAAGUGUCUCUUCAGGUGAAAUUAACAGAAGUGAGAUUCUUGGCUCAAAAGGUACAUGAGUAUGUAAUUUCGUUGCUAUUGCCAAAUUCUCUUCUAAAUUAUUAUACUAGUUUGCAUUCCUACCAGCAAUGGAUAAGAGCUCUUGUUUUCCCACAGCUUUGCCAACAAAAUACACUGUCCUACACUUUUUAAUUUUUGCUAGUCUGAUGGGGGAGAAAUGGCAACACUUGGCUGCAGCAUUUUUCCCUCUGCAGAUGCAGGAUUGGGCAGCCGGGCUUCCACCCCAGAACACAGUGCAAGUGCAUUAUGCCACACUCCCUUCACUACCUGAAGCAUCCCUGCAAGAGGCCCUUUGUGUCAUCUUCUGGUAGCAAAUCUCAGGACCUCAAGCAAAAUGUCAUAAAACAAGAAAAGACAUGAAAUGCCUCUCUGGACUUCAUUUGAUCCACAAAGAAGGAUUUGGUGACAACAUGGGAGUGACAGAAACAGGGAAAAUUGGCCAUGUCAUCUUGGAGUUCACAAAAGUAAGAGAGUGCAGUGCUGGACAUUUUUGGACAUACACUGCAGACUAACUUCAGAAAGUUCUAGGGAGAAUCAGUAUAUGCCAACAGCCAGAGGUACAAAGGAAAAAAAAAUGACUCAUGAAGAUCAAAGAUCCUGAGAAAUGAAAUUCUGACCAUAUAUUAAAACAAUUCACAGAGAUGAGGUUGUGGGAUGCCAGGGAUGGACAUCAGGAGAAGCCGGCAUGGCUGUGUAGGCAGCUCCCUAACAAGUCCAGGAUUUUAAAGGACCUAAGUCAAAGAUGGAGGAAAGCAAGGAAAAGCAAAGGCAAGGGCAAACAACAGUGCAAACUGUUAGGAAUAGUGUCAGGGAAGUGAAAAAUCAAAGUAAACCGAGACUUGAAUUAAGAAAGAGAACAAAAGGGUUAUCAGCCUAAAAAUAACAACACUUGAUAAAUGUCAAGUUAUGCAAACCAUGAAGUAUAUAUUGUUAUUUCCUCCAUUUUAUAGAGGAGAAAAUUAAGGGGCAAACAGGCAAUGUAGCUUCUACGGUAUCAUAUAACGUGUAAAUAGUGGAGCAGAGAUUUCAAACAAGUUAAGAACUUCUAUUUCCUAUUCAUAUCUCCUUGCAUGUGGAGGAACAUCGUUUAACCUGGCCUUCUUCAUCUCUCUCAUCCUUCCACUGCGAUGAUGAAGGAGCAAACACCUGACUGAUAAGUUUGGAGGGAUAAUUUAUACUAACCAGCCCCUUCCUCCUUCUCUCUUGAGAGUUGACCCAGCAAGCACAUGUCCUCAGAUGCUCUCAGCCUUGAGAUAACUUAGAGGUUAAGGCCUUGCUUCUUGGGAGAAGAUCUGCAAUAGCCCAGAGCUGCCUGUGACUGUCUGGGAAGGUCUGUCAAAUCCUGGGUUGUAGCUCCAGCUCACUAGCUCCCAGACAUGUCAAAUACUCCAACAUCAGCUCUAUCAGUCAUGCAGAUAUGUUUGUUUCCCAUUGGCCUUACCUUUUUGGGUUCUAUUUCUUAUUUGGUUCCAUCUCAAAGAUCUCAACAAGCCCUUUUUUAACCUGACCUCAAGCCUGAGCUCCUAACCACUAAGCAAUACCACUUUGCUAUGCCUUGUGUAAGAUGGAUUACGGUUUACAGAUAACAGAGAUAACUGCCAGGUUAUUUUGUUACUACCUUUUCCAGAAAAUUGAGUAUUUUUUUCUAAAUUAGGAAUGGCAAAAUAUGAUUAAGGGAAAACUGAAAAUCAAGACAAGAGAUGGAAGAAUAAAACACCCUGUAAAUUCUUUAAAUAAAGUCAAGUCCUCAGACCCAGAAAAUGAUAUUGCAGCCUUAGGUAACCACUUAGGAGCCACUAUCAGUCACAGUGGAGAUAUCAUGGAGUAUUGGAAAAUAUCUGCAGAAGACUGGAGAUGGGAAAGUGCCCUCAGUCUUAGGCAAAAGCCGUAGUCAAAAGGCUAAGCAAUGGUAAUCUCAGAAAUCACAACCCCUAGACAUCAACCCCCCAGAAACCUGUAGAGCAGGUCUAUGAGAAAAUAAUAUACUGAAAAACUACAGUUAAGAUGAGUCCACUGAAAAAAAGUAAAUUGCCUAAACUCAUUCUAUUAACAUUUUAUAUAAGUUUUUUCAUGCAUUUAUCAAGAAGUACUAAAAAUAUAGCAUAUUUUUAUGCCGGCAAAACAAUGGACUGACUGUUUCAUAACAUACUUGAUAUGAUGAUGGAAAAGGAGAUGCAUGAUUGUGCUGUAAAGUAGCUUGGCAUCUGGAAGAUCAAUCAUAGUGAAUAUAAAUGCCAUCUUUGAGCUGAGUAGGAUAUUAGCCACCUUCUAAAAAGCAAAUACAAUCUUUAAGUUGCAUUAAAAAAAGAAAGAAAGCCUCAAAUCAUAGAAAGAUUCCUAAUGUACCCUUCAAUGGUCAAACCAUAUUUAGAGUUUUGUGUGAGAUUAUGGAUGCAACAUAUUAAGAGAGAUAUUGACAAACAGGAGCAUGUUCAAUAAGCAAUGAACAAAGGACGAAGACCCUGGAUGUCAUGUCAAUUAGAAAAUGGUUGAGGGAGCUUCAAAUUUUUUCUGGAAAAGGGUUGACAGUGAUAAACACGUAGACUGGCUUUCAAGUCAUUGAACUAUUUUGAGCCUCAGAUUUUUCUUGUAUAAAAUGAAAGGGCUUGAAAUUAAUGGGGUCUAUAUCAUCUCUGAAAUCAUAUCCUUCUUCUAUGCAAACAUUUGAAAAGUUAUAGUAAUGGGUUAAAGAAUAUGAUUGGUCUCACUACAGAAAACAGAAUUAGAAUUAAUGAAUAAACAUUACAGAGAGGUAAAGUUGUAACUAGACGUGAAGGAACUUUCUAACAAUUAGAUGCAUCAUGAAAGACUAGGGUGUUGAUAGCUAGUAAGCAGGAUGACAAUCGAAAUAUUAUUCAAGAAUUGGCUGGAUGAUGAUGAUGACAACAAUGGUAAUGGUGAUUUCUAUUAUAUGUUGAUGUUAUGAUUAUCAUUACAAUAUAUUAAGUGUCCACUAUAUGCUAGUGAUAGAGACAGGAGACAGCUAAAUGCCUACACAGAUAAGGAAGGGUCGCUGGAGAACCUCUAACCCAUCUGAAUCAUUGUGCACAGGGGGCUUGCCUAAACAUGCCUAAGGUGAAAAAUUCCAUCCUUUAACACAUGCGCAGUAAGGGAAAUAAAUCAGUGUGGAGUGGUUCAGACUAAGGGCCCUCAUGUGCACUGGAAGAAUGGGUGGAGCCACCAGAAAUUCACGCCUUAUGCAGGGGAGACACCUGGCCUCUUCAAUUCAUGUGGUAGCCUAGUAUUCAAUUUGUGAGGUGGAAACCUGUGUGCAGGAUCCCUCUUUUUGUGGAGAACUUUCCUUUUGCUUAAUAAAUUCUGUGCUCCUCACCUUUCAAUGUGUCCAUGUGCCUAAUUUUUCCUGGUCGUUGAGACAAGAACUCGGAUUUAGCUGAGCAAAGGAGCAAAAAAUCCUGCAUCAUUUUGGUGGCCCAUAUGGGGACAUGAGGAAGGGUGAGUAAAACAUGGACCCAAAAAUCUAUUUCCCUUUCAUUUCUGAGCUUUCUUAUCCUAAGACUUUUUCUGAGGGCAGGAGAAACUUCCCCCACCACCCACUCUGUCGCUCUCAGGGGUUGGAAUAUCGGCCUCAGUCCAACCCAGUCUUUUCUGUGGCAUUUUCCUUUUUACUCGGGGGGGAAUGUAAUGGCACCUAUCUUUUCUUUUACAAUAUUGGGGAUGUUCCACCCCCAACCCCAGUGGCCACAGGCAUGUGCUUAGGAUGGACCAGUGAGAGGCAGCUCCCCUAACCCUCCCCUCCCAGCUGGGGUGCAUGGCCAUGUCCACUGCAUGUGCGUGUGGUGUCAAUAGCCACAUAGGGCGGGAAUGAGCCACAGCUGCUGCCCAGGCCCCAGGGUGGCCUUGGAGGCCUGGGUCCUGCUCAGCCAGCUAGCCAACAUUCCCUGCCACUGCCACCAUCCAUAGUCUUUCCCUCCCCCAGCUAAAGGGUACAGCUCAGUCUGACAGCAAUUAAAAGUUUCCCUCCCUGUUGGAGAAAUCCAUUUGCAUAAGAAUAAGCGGUUCUUCCCCCAGGCAUCUUCCCCACCCAGCAUUUAUGCUUUUUUUUCCUUUUCUGCACUCUGUCAGCAGUUAACACAGCCCCACACUUAAGCCUUUUUUUCUUUUCUCCACCCUGUCAGGAGUUAACUUUUAAGGGAGAGGUUUUCCUUUCUUGAAAGGCAUCUUAUUAGACCAGGACCUCAAUUCACAGGACACCUGUUUCCUCUCCGUUGUUUCAGAAGGACGCAGUUCCUCAGCUUCACCUUAACAUUUGGCUUAUGAUAAGGAGGCAACUGCCAAUCUGGCGAGGGACACCUGGGGCUUGAUGAGUCCGUGCACUCCCUGAGUCAGUUCUUUUGUCCCAACUGAAUUCCAAGCUUUGGGACAAAGCCCUAGGAAAGAAAACUGGAUCUGAGAGAUCCAGAGGCAGAUGACAACGGAAGUUAAAAGGCACAGCACAAAUGAGCAUGACUAAUUCUUGCCAAUUAAGCCAAGCCUCCCAUUUCAUGGAUAAAGGUCAUGCUAGUAUCCAUGGCAUAAGUGAGGUCUAGAGAAUUCAAAGGCUACUGACACCAGAAGGAAAGGCAGCACAUGGGUAAGAGCAGAUAUUCCCACCCCCUAGCCUCCUGCAGUGUUAGCAUGGGUGAAAGCCAUAUUGUCACCCAUGGGCAGCACCCUGUUGAGGUUGCUGGGACUCGGGAAUAUAAGGAUGAAAGAAGGAAAGAGGAUGCUUUUUCCUUCUCGCCCUCAUAAACCCCAGGUAUUUGCUAGGAAGAUAAAGGAACCAGAGAUGCCUAGCUCCCCUCUUUCUAGAUGAGUAGCCAUUCAUGUUCAGUCUGUCCCCCUUUUGAAUGCAUCCUGAACCCCUGGGGCUCCUUUGAAAACAAAAAGUCUUCUUUGUCCCUUUUUCCUCCUUGAUCCUCUCUUUACAGAUGGAUAAUUGUGUUCCCGUAUUCCAGGACACUUCCCUCAGAUGUAUCCUCCAAACUGAGAAAAGUUAAUUUCCCAAACCUUAAACUGGUUGGCUUAGAAUUGAGGUCGGGGAAAGGGAAUCCAGAAGCCUGACAUGCUGGCAAAAGGGUAAAAGUUUUUUUUUUUUAACUAGUUGGACUUUUAUCUUCUCUCUCCCUGUGCAAACUGGUGCAAGUAAUGAUAAGGAUCACUUUUUAUAUUCUCUGUAAAGUUUUGAUUAAUGAAAAAGAAUUUAUGAGGUUGGUCUUAAGCUCUAGCCAAUCUGGUAUGCUUUGUGUGUCUUCAUUGAGGCUUGGUGGUUUCACUUGUGAGGUCACUUUUGGUAAAGUUCAAAAGCCAGAAGUAUUGGCUGCUUGGUGUUGCCAAAGGCAAUAAGGAAUUUAAAAUGAUUUCCUUAAAGAGCAUGCAACUUAAUUAAAAGUGAAUAUCCAAGUUAUAGGUAUAUUUAAAAGGCCUUUGUUUUUCUCUUCUUGGAUCUUAUUUUGCUGGAAAAAGGUUUUUUCUCAGUUAACUGAAUUGCUUUUCUCCUCUUUGUCUUGCCACUCAAUGCAUGCAUAGUAGGCCCUAAGAUAACUUCUAAUGCCAUGGGACUCCUUGGGAAAAACAGAAAAGGUGCCACAGAUUCCAUUUUAGGAGAAACCUGUUUUGCUUAUGGAACCCCAGGAAUUAGAGGCAGAUAGAUCCCUCUCAAAAUCUGUUUUUGUCUUCCAGCUAUGCCUAUUUAUUAGGCUAUAGAAACUGCAUGCUUUCCUAGUCCUGCCCUUAAUGGGCCCCACCCAGAGACCAAUAAUUCAACUAGGAGAUUGGCAAAUGAAAAAUUUUAUAGCUACUGGAUCUUCUUCUAUCUGCGUAGUUAUAUAGGUGUUGUGUGUGAUGUCUAUAACAAAAAGAGCGCCAAUUAAUUGUCCUAAAGAAAAAUAAGUGAUUAGAUCAAAUAUUUUUUGAGGGAAAAAUAAAAGGUUUAAUGCCUUUUACUUCAUGUGACUUUAAUCUUUGAGAAAUAAAAACAGUCUUAAUGAUUAUUGGUAAAAUGCAAAUGUUGUUAAAAUGUAAAUAGGUGUUCUAAAUUAUACAGCUCAGAUCCUACGUUUGCUAAAUGUUUUAAGGUUAUAAAUUGCUUCUUUAGCUGUUGAGAACUGUUCCACUUGCCAGCCUCACAAUUGCUAAGGCCUGGGGACAUGUGGAAUUAACCACACCCUUAACUAUGCUGGAAGGAGUCAAACUUUAUUGAUGCCUAGUGCAUAACUAAAACAAAUUGCCAAAUUUUACAUUAAAAUUAAAAAUUGGUAAGAUAUACCAUUAUAACAUGUGAUUGAGACCACUGAAAAUAGAUUUACAUGCAAAGUGUGUAAGAACAGUAAAAUGUGUUUUUAGUAAAAGAUUGUAAGACAGCAUGGAAAUGUAAAUUUUUGCCUAGGGUUAAAGGAUUGUUUUAAGUUAGGUAAGAUGAAGCUAAAGGUUUAAAAAAGUUAUGGAAAGUUUCUAAAAAUUAAUCUUGCAAAAGAAAUUCUGUGUGUCAACAUUGACUAAAUUCAAAAGGGUAUUAUAUGGUUUUUCUGUAAAUUGAUCAUUGAAAUAAAAGCACAACAAGGUUUUCUUAAGGUACUAACCUGCCCUUUAGCAAAAUUUGUAAAGGGUUAUAAAAGAUUUAUAUGAAUCUCACCUCAUGGUCAAACUGGUUAAGACUGGAUAGAAUUGUCCAUAAGGUUUCAUUUAAAAAAUUGGGUUGACAUUAAUAGUAAACUAAUGUAAGGGUAAAAGUUGACGUUCUCUAACUUGUACAAGAUUUUAAUGUAAUAGUAAAGAAUAAUGAAAGAUUUUCAUUUGCCUUGCAGAUGGACUCCUAAGGAAAUGAAAGAGAAGACAGGAGACAAAUUGUUAGGAAAAGCUAAGUCUUCCCUCUUAAUGAGCAAAGAUUUUUGCCUGGUUUAAAAAUUUUUGUGAUGUAAUUUUGGCAAAAUAACUAACUGAUGGUAAUCUGGAAUUCUAUUUCAUAGCAUCAAGUGUUUUAAACCACUAACAUAUUUAAUAGGCUUCCCAAAACCAAAUUUUGGCUUCAAGUUGUCCGUCCUGACCCCUAGUUUUUGGAUGCUACAGACGGCCCCUGAAGCAUCCAAAGAGGGUAGACAGGAUUACCUGAUGUCUUUAGGUACAUGGGAUUGCCAAAAUGAUGUUUAAUAUUCUUCAGGUUAUAUUUUAGUGAAUAAUAUUAAUAUCUGUUCCAAAAUAGUACAGGAUUUUAAAAAUUCUAAUGUAUGAGUAUAUUUAUGAAUCACAAUUCAGGGUGUUAUAUUAAGUUAUUGUAAACCACAGAGAUAACCAAAUUUCUUUGUCAAUUAUGUUUUUGACUGUAACUACCCUGGACAUUUUGUUAUUCAUAGACAAUUGUUGUCUUGGUUUGAUCCUCUUUAAACGAUGGUAUAUAAUAAGCUAUAGAACUUUGACAGGUUCUCUCAAAUGCAGGUUACUGAUAACUUUGUAAAUUGUGACAUUGGUAUAAAGGAAAAACACACAGGGCUAAUGAAGAACUGAAAUGUUUAGAAAUAUCAAUACAAGAGUUAACUAAAAGGACUAAACUAAUAGAAAACUGAAGUAAUCUUUUUUAAAACUUUUGCUUAAAACAUUGCUGAUCUUUGUUUUGUUUUUCAGAGUCAAGGAAACUUUUAUUUUGAGCUAUUUACAGUCUUUAAUAAUUGAGUAAAGUAGACUCCUGUGAACAAAAUUUGGAGCAUGUUUGUUUCUCUUUGCAUGGUUCCUAUAGAAUUUGGAAACUAUCUGUGAGUAUUCUUAUGGCAAUAUGGUUAUUUUCAUCAGUGCAAUAAGAAUCUAUUUUCUUUUGCAAUAGGAUGCAAUUGGAGAAGCUGGUUGUUCUACCAAGGCUUUGACUGGAAGGGUAUACUUUCCUUUAAGGAAUUGAGCUUGACUUGUGGAGCUGAUAAAAGCCCCUUGGGGAAACUGGCCUCAUAUCUUGUCUACACAGUCCCUGUACAGGGUUAUUAAUCUGUAGUGAGUAAAGAGUGUCACUUUCUAAUAGGCCCAAGAACCCCAUAUUCUUGGGAUCCCAAGAGGAGAAUAAUUCACUCAACUCAUAGGUAUUUGAGGGGACAAAUCCAUGGCUGGGCUUGGUUUUUAAAAGUCCUAUCUGAGAUUCCUUGUGGAACAAAGUUCUAUCAAAGCCAAUUUAAAAAGACUGUAAAAAUAAUUAUUUUUGCUGCACUUUAUGCAAGUAAUAAGGCCAAGUAUAAGACUAAAGUUUAUUUUUGCAAACAACUCAGUCCUAUCAUGAUUUGUUUUUAACAAAAAUGAGGACUGAGAAAUUAUGUUUCAAGACUUAUUAUACAUUUGUCAUUAAAUUCUAGACUCAUUAGUUGUUGUUAAGUUUUUCACCUACAUUUUAAACUAACCCUGCUUAUUCCUGUGAACCAACCAGCAGUCUCCAACUGCAGCUCAGAAGAAACAAAAAGAGAUGGGUAGUAUAAAAAUCUGGAUAAUAUUCUAGUUCUGGGAAAUUAUCCUGCAGUUUCUGCCAGGUGAUGGGGGUAAAUGGGGUGCCCAUAACCUGGAGGUUUCUUUUUUUGGGAAAAUAAGACCAAGGGAGCUCACCAAAGCCAAGCCCCAUGCACCCAAAUCUUAGCAGGUGUAACUAUAGCCACCAGUUAUCUGGGCAUGCUGGUAGCCUUGGAAUUUUUGAGCUCUCCUUACCUUUACCUUUUGUUUUGUUUUGAUACAUGUCUUCUAAUAACCUGGUUUGUCUCUUCCUGCCUUUAGGCCAUUGAACUCCAAACAAUCAUGCAACUAGAGCCUCAAAUGAUGGCCCCCUUUUACCAGAGACCCUUAGAUAGGCCUCUGAGGGAGAUCUGACUGCUGUUAUUUGAAAACAGCACCCCCUGUCAGCAGAAAGCAGUUAAGGUGAAGAGCUAUUUUCCUGAUGUCCUAAGAAUUUUAUUCAAUUAAUGUUAUAGGUGCCACUAGAGGAGCUGGAAGGUGUUCCUGGUCUUUUGCAAAAGAAAGCUUUCUUCUCAAAUCAAUGCAAAAUCUCCUUCUCUUCUAACUAUCCUAGAGCUGUGGGGAGGAGGCAGAGAGUGUGUGGAUUUGAAAGGGCUUCUCGACCUCUAGGUAAAAAGAAAGAGCUUAGAUAUUAACAUUGUAAUUACAUCAAUUAGAUGCUAACUUUAUUUGGUUUUCAAAAAUAAUCAGGCCCCUGCUAAUUGUGUGUAUAGAGAAAGAAAUGAGUCCACAUUCUUUGUAAACACUAAGUACACUUUUUUGUUCUCUAUCAAUGAGCAGCAGGCAGCAUGUGGAUCUCAGAUAUCUGAAGACAGGGCAUAUGAGCUGAUUAAAUGGGCUGGUAGGAAAGGUCUGAAUUCAGAGGUUAGCACUGCCAACCCUCUGUUCCUCCAGUCCACCCCCUGUAACCAGCUCCCACUGGCUUCAUCACGGCUGCCCAAUUUCUUCCUACUCCAGUGUUUCUCAACCCUUUAAAUCAAUGCCAACUUUUCAUAAAUACAAACAUCUUAUUCACACUUUCCCCAGAAAUUCUAACACGUUCCUCAGGAUUAGGGGAGUGGAAACUUCAGUUAGGAAACUCUGUAUUUUCUUUGUAACCCAGCAGCAAAAACAAUGUGGUUGUGUUUUGUUUUCUGAAGUUGCCAUUAUAAAAAUAAUAGUUUUGUUAUGUUUUUAUAAGAUAAAACUAAAUUAUAAAAUUGAACAUGUCUUCUCAAAUUUUUCACUUGCCUCCAACCACCCUCCACUUCCCAUAGAUUCUAGUAUUUCUCUAAGAGCCCAUUCCUCAAGUUAAAAAUUGUUGCUCUAAUUUCUACAUCAUGACCAGGACAUGCUGUAUAAUUUGUGGGGCCUAGUUCAAAAUGAAUAUGCAAGGUCCCUCUUCAAACAUUAUUAAGGAUUUCAAGAUGGCUACAGUAGAGGAUUAAACCAAGGCUGGGACCUUUCUAAGCUUGGAGUCCUGGGUGACUGCACAGAAUACAUGCCACAAAGCUGUCCCUGAUCAUGACUUUUUAGCUUCUGCUAUUCCUGUCAUUGACUUCAUCUGUGUGUUUCCUAAUUCUGAUUCCCAAGAGCAAGAAUCGGAUUGGCUAAGAUAAGCAUUUCAUUCCAGAAGUUUUACUGGUUGCUGGCAGGCAUAUUCAUUGGAGAGGUCCCUUGGUCAGUCAACUAUGUCAGAACCAAACAGUCGUGUGUGAUCAAGGUGGGGGAUUUGAAUGGGAGUAGAGAAUGGGUCUACUACUACAGUACAUGGCCACCAAUGUAGCCAUGAGAGUGGACGGGGCAGUUUUCUUAGGAGUGGACAUGGGUAGACAGGCAAUCACUGACACUGAAUACAAAAUAUAAAUAUACGCAUUUCCAAUUUGAGCCUGAUGUCUGUGUAAAACGGAGUAAUAAUAUUUCAGAGGCUAGUUUAUGGGGGAUAGAUGAGAUAGUGACCUAAACAAAUGGAUGUAAAACCCCAAGAAAUCAUUAUUACCAUUCAACUAAGGGAGUGCAAACAUAGUGGAACCUGAUUUAAUAUCUCAAAUAGUCCAGCACUCAAAAAUAGGCUGGUAACACAUAGGCCAUCAGGGUGUUGUCUUGUGGUGCAUGCAGCAGGAUGACUAUUACUGUGAACUAAGCAACACAGAUGCCAUCUUCUGAAGACAAAUAGACACAAAGGAUUGUGUCUUUGUUCAUAUAUACAAAGAAAAUUGGCACUAGAACUGGAUGAGAGCCAAGGGACAGUCUGUUUGAUAGGCUGUGGCUUGUGAUAGUCCUAAUCUGUUGAUGAAAUAAUGUGUUUCCUUCUGGAAAAAAGGAAUUUUCUAACGUUCCCCUAAGAAAGGUUUCAGCUGCCCUCAGCUCUGUCAGGGACUAGAAGUGAUUGUCCUGUUCUGGGUUAUUAUCACUUUGAUCACACCAAUUCCCCUUUUGGGCUUAAAAAACUCAGUCUCUUUCUGUCUCUCUCUCUCUCUUUUUCUCUCUCUCUCUUUUUGGAGGAUUUUUUUCGAAUCUGUAUAUCUUUCUAGUUUAACUAGAUACAGAUCUAGUCAUGGGUUUUUACCCCCAGGCUCUCCCUUUUGUCAUCUUUUAUCCUCCUCUUUCCUUUGUCCCAUUUAAAUUAAAUUUUAGAAUUUAUAUAAGAAUUUAAGUUGGUCAUAGUAAAGAUUUUGAAACAUUAGGGAUUUUGAAUUCCAAUAGUGUUAUCAGUAGCUUUUAAAGGUUAGGAUUUUCCUUUUGUAUGUGUCAUGAGUCUAUAUGUGUGAGACUGUGACACUGUGUGUAUGUAUUUAAAGAAUAUUUAAACUUAUGACAGUAAAAGAAAAAGUACAAAUUGCAAAUAUCAAGCGUUACGUCAAAUAAAAACUUCCAAAACAGUCCUAUGUGACAAAUAACACAAACCAAAUUAAUUAUUAAAAAGAAUCUUUUGUAUCACUCAAUUCCUAGAAAGAAUCAGGAAAGUAAAAGUCUAAAAAGCAGUGGUUUGAAGAAAAACAGGAAGCCUGCCACAAAGCAUUUUGAGUAGGUGAAUGAAGGUUAUUAGUUAAGCUGGGGAUGCCUGCUUUCCCUGCUCUAGCAGUCACAGACAGAGUGAGCAUGCCUCUGCAUAAUCCUAUUAUGUACAGGGUGCUGCACUUGGCCUUCCUGGUGACUUACAUUUGCCAGAAACACUACACUUCAAACACAUACCAUACAGGCAAUUACAACAGGUUUCCAAAGAUUGAUGGCAGCCCCCAAAUGAAAAGAUUCCACUAGCUACCCUCUAAAUCCUCAUAUGAAGAAUAUGUGUUUGUGUGUGUGCCACUAUGUGUUCAUGUAUUUAGCCAGCAUAAUGUAGAAAAUUGAUUUCUUAACACCUGAUUCUAGGCAGAAGCAAUUUCUGCCCAGAAUGUCAGCCACUUUUUAAAAAAUAACAUCAAGCCAUUGCACAAAUACAAAAUCACAUACUUGGAGAAAACGAAAUUAUACACAUCCUUAGAAUAUUACUCUUUCCCUUUCAUCCUUCAAAAAUUAAUUUGGAUUUUUAACUUUCCAUCCUGGUCCAAUACUGUACAACAAAGAAAGUAUGGAUAAGAAAAGUAAGAUUUCAGAAAUGUGGUAAGGAGUGGAGGGAAAUGCCUUCAAUAAUUCUCAGUGAGGGUGUAGGAGGACUUCUGGCUCACAGAUGUUCCAGUGCUCUAAGGGGUUCAUUGGGAGAGAAUAUCACCAUAGGUUUGAAAAACUAUUAAUCCCACCAAGGAAAAAAAACUUCAGCUUUUGAGCCUGUUAGCAAAUUAUAGUUAAUAAAAAUAAAAUUUGUGGCCUGGCACAGUGGCUCACGCCUGUAAUCCUAGCAUUUUGGGAGGCCGAGGAGGGUGGAUUGCCUGAGCUCAGGGGUUCAAGACCAGCCUGGUCAACAUGGUGAAACCCUGUCUCUACUAAAUACAAAUUAGCUGGGCUUGGCAGCAUGUGCCUGCAGCCCAACUACUCAGGAGGCUGAAGUGGGAGAAUUGCUCCAGCCCACAAGGCAGAGGUUGCAGUGAGGUGAGAUGGUGCAACUACUACACUCCAGACUGGGUGACAGAGCGAGUCUCUGUCUCAAAAAUAAAAUAAAAUAAAAUAAAAUAAUAUAAAAUAAAAUUUGUAAAUAGAAUACACCGAAAUAUAUUCUGUGAACAAAAGAGGACAAAUUAAACCAAGAGAGUUCAAUGUACAAGGUAUGAUUUUGAAAUUAUACAAUUGUACUUUUAAAUCCCUUGACUUUUGCAAAGAAUCUUGAUGCAGCAUAUAUUUUUAUUAUAUAAAUGUCUAUUUUGCAAUAGGAUGAAAUAAAAUUAAGAAGACCUAUGAUAAUGCAGUAUAUAAAUUUGGCAAAACACUUGAAUAAUGAAAAAACUUAUUGGUGAGUUUUGUCUCAUAAAUAUAUUUGUUGGAGAAAGAUACUCUAAAUGGAGACAAACAUAAAAUGCUUGUGGAAAUAUUUAGACAUUUAACAUAAACAAUUAGAAUUGACAUUGCCCUCCAUUUGACAGAAUUUUAUCUGAAUUUACAUUACAACAGCACUAGAAGAGAAUAUUUUCCCUAUUAAAAAGAUUAUGGUCUAUAGAAAAAGAACCAACUGAAAAUGCAAUUAACCAUAAUUUGAAACUUGAAGACAAUUUCAGGCAUUUUUAUGGGAAAAAACACUAAAUUUUUAAACAAAAUACUAUUAAUAAAGAGAAUUAGAGAAAUUAUAUAAGCACACAAGUAUUGUUACCUGCUUUUAAAAUUUUUAAUGUUCAGGUAAUGAUAUAAAGGAGGUUUAUUUAUUAAAAUGUUUAUUUAAUGUAUACUAGUGUAAUAG
rnacentral:lncRNA from 1 species